UUGCUUUGGCAGCAUACAUACAAAAACUGGAAAGAUACAGAGAAAAUUAGCUUGGCUCCUGCGCAAGGACGACACGCAAAUUCAUGAAGCAUUCCACAUUAAA